rnacentral:hammerhead_ribozyme from 1 species
GUACUGAUGAUGAGUCCCAUACUGGGACGAAACGGCUUUCCAGUAC